rnacentral:rRNA from 1 species
GACGAACGCUGGCGGCGUGCCUAAUACAUGCAAGUUGAGCGCUGAAGGUUGGUACUUGUACCAACUGGAUGAGCAGCGAACGGGUGAGUAACGCGUGGGGAAUCUGCCUUUGAGCGGGGGACAACAUUUGGAAACGAAUGCUAAUACCGCAUAAAAACUUUAAACACAAGUUUUAAGUUUGAAAGAUGCAAUUGCAUCACUCAAAGAUGAUCCCGCGUUGUAUUAGCUAGUUGGUGAGGUAAAGGCUCACCAAGGCGAUGAUACAUAGCCGACCUGAGAGGGUGAGUGGCCACAUUGGGACUGAGACACGGCCCAAACUCCUACGGGAGGCAGCAGUAGGGAAUCUUCGGCAAUGGACGAAAGUCUGACCGAGCAACGCCGAGUGAGUGAAGAAGGUUGUCGGAUCGUAAAACUCUGUUGGUAGAGAAGAACGUUGGUGAGAGUGGAAAGCUCAUCAAGUGACGGUAACUACUCAGAAAGGGACGGCUAACUACGUG